UCUAUAGCUCAGCUGGUAGAGCAACUGAUUUGUAAUCAGUGGGUCGGGAGUUCGAGUCUCUCUGGAG
rnacentral:tRNA from 1 species